rnacentral:rRNA from 1 species
GAUGAACGCUGGCGGCGUGCCUAAUACAUGCAAGUCGAGCGAAGCGGGGACGGGUGCGUAACACGUGGAUAACCUCCUAUACGACUGGGAUAAAUUCGGGAAACCCGAGCUAAACCUGCUACUUAUAUAUGGAUCCUCGCUGCAUUCGCUAGUUGGUAAGGUAACGGCUUACCAAGGCAACGAUGCAUAGCCGACCUGAGAGGGUGAUCGGCCACACUGGAACUGAGACACGGUCCAGACUCCUACGGGAGGCAGCAGUAGGGAAUCUUCCGCAAUGGGCGAAAGCCUGACGGAGCAACGCCGCGUGAGUGAUGAAGGUCUUCGGAUCGUAAAACUCUGUUAUUAGGGAAGCGGUACCUAAUCAGAAAGCCACGGCUAACUACGUGCCAGCAGCCGCGGGAAAUC